rnacentral:rRNA from 1 species
UACGUAGGGGGCUAGCGUUGUCCGGAAUCAUUGGGCGUAAAGCGCGCGUAGGCGGCCCGGUAAGUCCGUUGUGAAAGUCAAAGGCUCAACCUUUGAAUGCCGAUGGAUACUGCCGGGCUCGAGUCCGGAAGAGGCGAGUGGAAUUCCUGGUGUAGCGGUGGAAUGCGCAGAUAUCAGGAGGAAAACCAAUAGCGAAGGCAGCUCGCUGGGACGGUACUGGCGCUAAGGCGCGAAAGCGUGGGGAGCGAACAGG